rnacentral:rRNA from 1 species
GAUGAACGCUGGCUACAGGCUUAACACAUGCAAGUCGAGGGGAAACGACGGGGAAGCUUGCUUCCCCGGGCGUCGACCGGCGCACGGGUGAGUAACGCGUAUCCAACCUGCCUCUGACUGAGGGAUAACCCGUCGAAAGUCGGCCUAAUACCUCAUGGCAUCGUCUGUGGGCAUCCAACGACGAUUAAAGAUUUCAUCGGUCAGAGAUGGGGAUGCGUCUGAUUAGCUUGUUGGCGGGGUAACGGCCCACCAAGGCGACGAUCAGUAGGGGUUCUGAGAGGAAGGUCCCCCACAUUGGAACUGAGACACGGUCCAAACUCCUACGGGAGGCAGCAGUGAGGAAUAUUGGUCAAUGGGCGAGAGCCUGAACCAGCCAAGUAGCGUGCAGGAUGACGGCCCUAUGGGUUGUAAACUGCUUUUAUGCGGGGAUAAAGUGAGGGACGUGUCCUUCAUUGCAGGUACCGCAUGAAUAAGGACCGGCUAAUUCCGUG